GGGUUGUGAGGUUAAGCGACUAAGCGUACACGGUGGAUGCCCUGGCAGUCAGAGGCGAUGAAGGACGUGCUAAUCUGCGAAAAGCGUCGGUAAGGUGAUAUGAACCGUUACAGCCGGCGAUGUCCGAAUGGGGAAACCCAGUGCAAUUCGUUGCACUAUCGUUAACUGAAUACAUAGGUUAACGAGGCGAACCGGGGGAACUGAAACAUCUAAGUACCCCGAGGAAAAGAAAUCAACCGAGAUUCCCCCAGUAGCGGCGAGCGAACGGGGAGCAGCCCAGAGUCUGAAUCAGCUUGUGUGUUAGUGGAACGGUCUGGAAAGUCCGACGGUACAGGGUGAUAGUCCCGUACACCAAAAUGCACAGGUUGUGAACUCGAAGAGUAGGGCGGGACACGUGGUAUCCUGUCUGAAUAUGGGGGGACCAUCCUCCAAGGCUAAAUACUCCUGACUGACCGAUAGUGAACCAGUACCGUGAGGGAAAGGCGAAAAGAACCCCGGCGAGGGGAGUGAAAAAGAACCUGAAACCGUGUACGUACAAGCAGUGGGAGCACCUUCGGGUGUGACUGCGUACCUUUUGUAUAAUGGGUCAGCGACUUAUAUUCUGUAGCAAGGUUAACCGUAUAGGGGAGCCGCAGGGAAACCGAGUCUUAACUGGGCGUUAAGUUGCAGGGUAUAGACCCGAAACCCGGUGAUCUAGCCAUGGGCAGGUUGAAGGUUGGGUAACACUAACUGGAGGACCGAACCGACUAAUGUUGAAAAAUUAGCGGAUGACUUGUGGCUGGGGGUGAAAGGCCAAUCAAACCGGGAGAUAGCUGGUUCUCCCCGAAAGCUAUUUAGGUAGCGCCUCGUGAACUCAUCUUCGGGGGUAGAGCACUGUUUCGGCUAGGGGGUCAUCCCGACUUACCAACCCGAUGCAAACUACGAAUACCGAAGAAUGUUAUCACGGGAGACACACGGCGGGUGCUAACGUCCGUCGUGAAGAGGGAAACAACCCAGACCGCCAGCUAAGGUCCCAAAGUCAUGGUUAAGUGGGAAACGAUGUGGGAAGGCACAGACAGCCAGGAUGUUGGCUUAGAAGCAGCCAUCAUUUAAAGAAAGCGUAAUAGCUCACUGGUCGAGUCGGCCUGCGCGGAAGAUGUAACGGGGCUAAACCAUGCACCGAAGCUGCGGCAGCGACACUAUGUGUUGUUGGGUAGGGGAGCGUUCUGUAAGCCUGCGAAGGUGUGCUGUGAGGCAUGCUGGAGGUAUCAGAAGUGCGAAUGCUGACAUAAGUAACGAUAAAGCGGGUGAAAAGCCCGCUCGCCGGAAGACCAAGGGUUCCUGUCCAACGUUAAUCGGGGCAGGGUGAGUCGACCCCUAAGGCGAGGCCGAAAGGCGUAGUCGAUGGGAAACAGGUUAAUAUUCCUGUACUUGGUGUUACUGCGAAGGGGGGACGGAGAAGGCUAUGUUAGCCGGGCGACGGUUGUCCCGGUUUAAGCAUGUAGGCUGGUUAUCCAGGCAAAUCCGGAUAAUCAAGGCUGAGGUGUGAUGACGAGGCACUACGGUGCUGAAGUAACAAAUGCCCUGCUUCCAGGAAAAGCCUCUAAGCAUCAGGUAACAUCAAAUCGUACCCCAAACCGACACAGGUGGUCAGGUAGAGAAUACCAAGGCGCUUGAGAGAACUCGGGUGAAGGAACUAGGCAAAAUGGUGCCGUAACUUCGGGAGAAGGCACGCUGGUGUGUAGGUGAAGUCCCUGCGGAUGGAGCUGAGACCAGUCGAAGAUACCAGCUGGCUGCAACUGUUUAUUAAAAACACAGCACUGUGCAAACACGAAAGUGGACGUAUACGGUGUGACGCCUGCCCGGUGCCGGAAGGUUAAUUGAUGGGGUUAUCCGUAAGGAGAAGCUCUUGAUCGAAGCCCCGGUAAACGGCGGCCGUAACUAUAACGGUCCUAAGGUAGCGAAAUUCCUUGUCGGGUAAGUUCCGACCUGCACGAAUGGCGUAAUGAUGGCCAGGCUGUCUCCACCCGAGACUCAGUGAAAUUGAACUCGCUGUGAAGAUGCAGUGUACCCGCGGCAAGACGGAAAGACCCCGUGAACCUUUACUAUAGCUUGACACUGAACAUUGAGCCUUGAUGUGUAGGAUAGGUGGGAGGCUUUGAAGCGUGGACGCCAGUCUGCGUGGAGCCAACCUUGAAAUACCACCCUUUAAUGUUUGAUGUUCUAACGUUGGCCCCUGACCGGGGUUGCGGACAGUGUCUGGUGGGUAGUUUGACUGGGGCGGUCUCCUCCCAAAGCGUAACGGAGGAGCACGAAGGUUAGCUAAUCCUGGUCGGACAUCAGGAGGUUAGUGCAAUGGCAUAAGCUAGCUUGACUGCGAGCGUGACGGCGCGAGCAGGUGCGAAAGCAGGUCAUAGUGAUCCGGUGGUUCUGAAUGGAAGGGCCAUCGCUCAACGGAUAAAAGGUACUCCGGGGAUAACAGGCUGAUACCGCCCAAGAGUUCAUAUCGACGGCGGUGUUUGGCACCUCGAUGUCGGCUCAUCACAUCCUGGGGCUGAAGUAGGUCCCAAGGGUAUGGCUGUUCGCCAUUUAAAGUGGUACGCGAGCUGGGUUUAGAACGUCGUGAGACAGUUCGGUCCCUAUCUGCCGUGGGCGCUGGAGAAUUGAGGGGGGCUGCUCCUAGUACGAGAGGACCGGAGUGGACGCAUCACUGGUGUUCGGGUUGUCAUGCCAAUGGCACUGCCCGGUAGCUAAAUGCGGAAGAGAUAAGUGCUGAAAGCAUCUAAGCACGAAACUUGCCCCGAGAUGAGUUCUCCCUGAGACUAUAAGUCUCCUGAAGGAACGUUGAAGACGAUGACGUUGAUAGGCCGGGUGUGUAAGCGCAGCGAUGCGUUGAGCUAACCGGUACUAAUGAACCGUGAGGCUUAACCUUACAACGCCGAAG
rnacentral:rRNA from 1 species